GUCGUAUAGGUGUUUAUAGCAUAUUGGCUUUUCAUGCCAAAGGAUAAUUUUAUUAUUAAUUCGAUU
rnacentral:tRNA from 1 species